rnacentral:rRNA from 1 species
GUCCAACGUUAAUCGGGGCAGGGUGAGUCGACCCCUAAGGCGAGGCCGAAAGGCGUAGUCGAUGGGAAACAGGUUAAUAUUCCUGUACUUGGUGUUACUGCGAAGGGGGGACGGAGAAGGCUAUGUCGGCCGGGCGACGGUUGUCCCGGUUUAAGCGUGUAGGCUGACUUUCCAGGCAAAUCCGGAAAGUUAAGGCUGAGGCGUGAUGACGAGGCACCACGGUGCUGAAGU